CCCCAACUUCCCCUCUGCGCCGCCACACGUGAGAGACGCCCCAUCCCAACCACCCGACUCCGCGUCUCCCGCCCGAGACCGGCCGCCGCUGCCGAUGAGGGCCACGCCGGCGCUCCCUCUCAGCCCGCCUUCCUCCUCUUUCCACUCUGUUCCCCUCCUUCUCUCUCCGCCCUCUGGUCAGCAGCGACCACCCAAGCUCGCCCCGAUUCAUUGCCCUCUCCUUCCGUCCAGCUUGGGUCCGUCGUCGGUCGUCCAUGGGGUGAACGCUGCGCCUCCUCCUGAAGCUCCUAUUUUUGUGCCGCCCCGCCUGCACUGCCCACCAGCGCUUUCCGAGAACUCAUGGUCGCCUUCUGCCAAGCUGCCGGAUUGAUGGCCGGCCGCCGCCAUGACCGACCUCAACCUUCUGCACGCCAUGGGGAGUGGCCAUGGAGGCCGCACCUUCGGCCUCUCGCUCGCCGCCAGCCAGGACCUCCGCCAACAUCUCAUUCAUCUAUAUCAAGGACCGAUCUACGUCACAUGAGGUUGACAGCAGUUCGGCCAGGGGCAUCACGACCACAUCCUGAUAUCCGCUGCCUUGGGCACGGCCACCACUGCUUGCCUUCCUUGGAGCAAGGAAUUAUGAGCUCUCCCGUACACGGCUGAAGCGCCUACAGGGGAAUUAUUUUGCUCUAUGUUGUGUUGUGGUUCCUGCCCAAGAGGUGGCAACAGUUCAGACUUCAGACUUAAAUCAUGGGGUCAGGAAAGCAAUGAAAGUUAGCAACGGGAGAACGUAGCGAUGUCUGAACGGCCGUCUGCUACUGAAGCUCAUCCACCGUCCUCUCUCUGAUGAGAUCAAAAGCCUCUUCGCUCCUUCACUAUGAGGUAAUGAAUCACCCAAACAGACAAUGUGCAUGACAAGUUCUGCUGCUGCAAAGAUUUCUUUAGGACCAUCGACAUGGAUGUUCAUGUCAGGAUUUCUUUAGGAGCAUCUACAUUCAGGAAAAUAUGUAUGCAUGUUGAGAAAAAAUAUAUUUUAAGAUGUGUGUUUUAUGAUAUAGUUCAACCAAUACAUAUUUUUUUAUGGAUCAUUCGCAUUUGGCAAGUUUUUACUCACACUGCAUUUUCAGCUAUGCAUGUGAAUGCUUGGGAAGACACUACAUGCAUAGUUAACUUUUGUUCUGGUUCAAUUCUUUGAUUUUACUGACACUUUUCUACCGAGAAUGCUUUGCCAUUAAUUUUUGUCCCCAUUGAUCUAUUUUCCUCUUAGCAUCAUCCAUCAUCAUUGCCCCAUGACCCGACUUGCUUUCCUGAAUGCACGAACAAACAUCUGCUCUGUAUGCACGGCAAAAUUUAGUUUCAUUCAAUGCCGUCACAUGACCCCCUUACAGUAUGUGAUCCUUUGGUUCAGAUGUGGCAUUUUCUCAUUUGAUUGUUCAUUAAAUUUGCAAGCGAGCUAUUUUAGUUAGAUGCUCUAAAAGAAAAUGAAGGGUCGUUCCAAGAGGUUAGUGUCAAAUAAAAAAAUUCCAAAGAAAUGUAGUGCAAAAGAAUUUGUACAGCUCUUUUUAUAGGAUUAAUUCACUCAUACAAAUAGGUGUGGCCCAUAGAAAAACAAACAUAUGAACUCAACCCACUGAAUUUUCCAUGAAAAGAUUUUGAAUCAAAGAGACCCAAAGGUGGAAUAAAAGGAUUACCGUGGCCACAACUAUUAUCAAAAUGUUUCUCAGAUGUGGAAAUAUGGAGGGGAAGGAUCCUCGACCAUCAUGCCGCGUCCCUCGACCAGAAUCUCCAUCAAAUCUUGUCGCAUUGCAACUUUCAGAGUAACGUCCACUGUCGCCGGCGGAGGAAAAUCAUCCGCCGAGCCGUCCAAUGUCAGGUUCACCGGCGAAAGAAGAACAUCCGUCGAGCCGUCCAUCGUCUGAGGCGGCUACACCAGAGCUGCCAGAGGCGUCCGAUCGUACUCAGGUGGAGUCCAAGGAGGUUCGGCUCUUAGACAUGCCAGCAAUCACUGUCAACGACACUGACGUGCAGAUUAAAAUGGAUGACAUCACCAAACUGAACAUUGCAUAGGAUUUUGAUAACCGAUCUUCAAAAAAAAAUCCGAAUCAGGUAUUUCUGGAGCCAUCGCCUAUGUCACCAACUAUGUCAACAUCUACUCCAGUUUCUGAGUGUUUUGAAUCGAUUGUGCCCGAAUCAGAUAAUUAGAUAGAUCGUGAUCCAUUGACAUCACCUCCAUCCCCAUCGAGCUCGACAUUAUCUCAUGUUUUUUCAUUACAUGAUGUCAAGGAACCAGAUUCACAUAAAGAGAUCAAAGUCGAUGAGACAUAUGAUUAUCUCCCACAAGGGAGCCCAAUCGGUGGAAGGUGAUUUGUCAAAGAGAAUUCUAGCAGCCAACAGUUAAUAGGCGGUGAGCAGGGAGACAAUGAACAUGUAGAGCUGGAGUUUUUUUUAGAAAGCAAAGCUGGAGUUUGGUUUGUACUUAAGACAUCACUUAAGAAGUUCUUCACCACAUGUAAAUUUUUUUGGAGCUUCCAAGGAUAUACAUUUUUUGGGUUGCCAAUUAUAAGAGUUAAUGGAGUGCUUUAAAAUUUGGUGUUUGUGGGUUAUGAAAUGAUAAUAUUGUGGAAAUUGCAAGCA